rnacentral:rRNA from 1 species
UACGUAGGUGGCGAGCGUUAUCCGGAAUUACUGGGUGUAAAGGGCGUGUAGGCGGGGAUACAAGUCAGAUGUGAAAUUCCGAAGCUUAACUUCGGGGCUGCAUCUGAAACUGUAACUCUUGAGUACUGGAGAGGAAAGUGGAAUUCCUAGUGUAGCGGUGAAAUGCGUAGAUAUUAGGAGGAACACCAGUGGCGAAGGCGACUUUCUGGACAGUAACUGACGCUAAGGCGCGAAAGCGUGGGGAGCAAACAGG